CAUAUCAAUAAGCGGAGGAAAAGAAACCAACAGGGAUUGCCCUAGUAACGGCGAGUGAAGCGGCAACAGCUCAAAUUUGAAAUCUGGCUCUUUUAGAGUCCGAGUUGUAAUUUGCAGAGGGCGCUUUGGCGUUGGCAGCGGUCCAAGUUCUUUGGAACAGGACGUCACAGAGGGUGAGAAUCCCGUACGUGGUCGCUAGCCUUCGCCGUGUAAAGCCCCUUCGACGAGUCGAGUUGUUUGGGAAUGCAGCUCUAAAUGGGAGGUAAAUUUCUUCUAAAGCUAAAUACUGGCCAGAGACCGAUAGCGCACAAGUAGAGUGAUCGAAAGAUGAAAAGCACUUUGGAAAGAGAGUCAAAUAGCACGUGAAAUUGUUGAAAGGGAAGCGCUUGCAGCCAGACUUGCCUGUAGUUGCUUAUCCGGACUUUUGUCCGGUGCACUCUUCUGCGGGCAGGCCAGCAUCAGUUUGGGCGGUUGGAUAAAGGUCUCUGUCAUGUACCUCCUUUCGGGGAGGCCUUAUAGGGGAGACGACAUGCAACCAGCCUGGACUGAGGUCCGCGCAUCUGCUAGGAUGCUGGCGUAAUGGCUGUAAGCGGCCCGUCUUGAAACACGGACCAAGGAGUCUAACAUCUAUGCGAGUGUUUGGGUGUCAAGCCCAGACGCGUAAUGAAAGUGAACGGAGGUGGGAACCUUUUAGGUGCACCAUCGACCGAUCCUGAUGUCUUCGGAAGGAUUUGAGUAAGAGCAUGGCUGUUGGGACCCGAAAGAUGGUGAACUAUGCUUGAAUAGGGUGAAGCCAGAGGAAACUCUGGUGGAGGCUCGCAGCGGUUCUGACGUGCAAAUCGAUCGUCAAAUUUGGGCAUAGGGGCGAAAGACUAAUCGAAC
rnacentral:rRNA from 1 species